UGCUUGUCUCAAAGAUUAAGCCAUGCAUGUCUAAGCAUAAACCGAAUAUGGAAAGCCGCGAAGGCUCAUUACAACAGCCAGAGUCAUUUUAUUGGAUCUCAGAGUCCUACUUGGAUACCUGUGGUAAUUCUAGAGCUAAUACACGCAAUCAAGCCUCAACCUUACGGGCGGGGCGCAUUUAUUAGAACAAAACCAAUUGGCUUCGGCCAUAGAUUGGUGAAUCUGAAUAACUACGCUGAUCGCACGGGCUUGUCCCGGCGACGUAUCCUUCAAGUGUCUGCCUUAUCAACUUUCGAUGGUAGUUUAUAUGACUACCAUGGUUGUAACGGGUAACGGAGAAUAAGGGUUCGACUCCGGAGAGGGAGCCUGAGAAACGGCUACCACAUCCRAGGAAGGCAGCAGGCA
rnacentral:rRNA from 1 species